AUGACCCUCGCCCUCAAGGAUUCUACAAAGAGCUCGGUGGAAGAAAAAACAUCAAGCAUCUCAAACAAGACAGUCUCUGGGAUUUCAUCUUCCUUUUUGAAGCGACCUGACCUAUCAGGAUCUUCAUUUCCCAACACAUUCUGGAGUUCUGAAGAAGUUCACUGUGACUAUUUUUGCUGCUGUCCAUUGCUUUCGUGGAGGGAUGAAGCUUUGGAGUUUUCUACUCCGCUAUUUUCACAGAUGUCCGUCCAGUGGAGAGAGUGGGUGAUAUGGCUGUGA
rnacentral:lncRNA from 1 species